rnacentral:lncRNA from 1 species
CCGCGCCUCCGCCUUCCCCGCCCCCCUCACCGUGUGUGUACAACAGCUGAGGCCCGGCGAGCUAAUGCUGGACGUCCUGGGCUGGGGGGUGGAAAUUAAACAGACGAUGACCUUUCCUUUCCCCGCCCGGUUUUCCCAAGUAAAAACGCAUUUAAAAACCACAAGCGUCAUUUCCGAUCUCGCUCCCCACCCCACCCCAAGCAGUACAUUUAAAUGUCCAGUUUCAAGAUUUUCGUUGCGAAUUUCAUAGAGGGAAUUACUCAUUUCGUCUGUAAUCAAACCUCCUCCCUCCCUGCCCCCCGCCCCCCGGUAUGGAUGUUGCAUUCCUUGCUACCACUGAUGCCAGAGCACCUGCAAAAUUAGCUGUUUUCCAUUUGCCCAGAAACUGCCUUUUCGAUUUGUUUUUGUGCUCUGGUCUAGGAACCUGAGUUUCAACGACAGAGCUAAAUGAAUUCAGGGUGAGCUACUCCUCCCCCCAGUCGCACUCUAAAAAUUUUGGCUGCAUGUCUAAAGAAGCUACGAGCACCCGGAGGCCUUUAAGGAAAAACAGUCUACUGGCUGCGCACAGCUGCAGUUGGGGGCAGGGAGGGAGAAGGUGCUGGAGAGGCCAAACAGGCAGGGGUGAUGGAGGAGAAUGUGAAGCUCUAAAACACAACGAAGUGUUAGGAACCUUACUGAAUAUUCCUUACCUACUGUUACAAGGAGGACAGCUGCGUUGUAAGUGUCCACCGCUGAGAGGGACCCCAGGCUGAGUAAUGAAGGGGAAGGAGGAGACUGGAGAGGGUGAUUUUAUGGUGGAAGGAACCUCCUUCCAGACCCACAAGCCAUCUCAUACAAGAAACAACCCUUUAUUCUCACCUAAUUCAGGUAACACUGACUGUGCACACCCACCCAACCUGUACUGUCCUAUCUUUGGGCUAGAGGUUGCUUCAUGAUUCUGGCUGCUGCCCUCAAAACACGUCUGGCCCGGGGGCGCCUGGGUGACUCAGUCGGGUUAAGUGUCCUACUCUUGAUUUCAGCUUGCGUCGUGU